AUCAAUCACUCUUUUUUCAACCUUAGCCGCUAUUGUGGUGGUACGGGAUAGUCCCAAUUCCGACCGCUAGGUGGCGAGCGAUAGAAGACGCGUUGGGGAAGGAGAGACCGGCAGUUGGGCGCGAGACGUAGAGCAGAGCAGGCAGAAGAGCAUCGUCCUCCAACAUUUCAGUUUUGUUUCUUUUGUGUUUUACCUUACCCGAUUUGUGCCGUCAAGGUGUGGAAUACACUAAAUUUGCGAGUGAUCCAGCCGAACAGUGACUUUAUCUUUAAUUUCCCAGCCAUCCGGCGCCAUUUGGUGUCAGAAGUGGGAUCGAGUGCUCGCUUCCCGUGGCUGCGACGGCGUGGUGACCCCUUGCUAAAACUGAUCAUUCGGCUUUAUCGGAAACAUCCAGCUUGCUGAGGCAGAUUUCAACAUCCAUCGACAUUCUCCGGAAGAAAAUCUUGUCGCUGAACGUGGCAUUAGGGUGUUUGGGAGCGAAUUUCAUCCCGAUUUGCUGGAUUUUGUGGCGGAUUCUUCCUAUCCUUGGCGCCAAACCAACAUGGCGGAUCGUUCGCCUUCUGGAUAUCGUUUUCUUCAACUGAAAAGUGGAUUACAUCUUCUCGUGGAUUUCGUCAACUAUUGCUGCAUUCUGGAAUUGAAUUACCUGAUAUUCUUGCCUUGGAUUGAAAUUUGAAUCUCGUGGCCGUAACUGUACAGUCUACUUAAUUCUCCAUGCUCUACUCACUCUGAACUCUUGUUUUGUCAGUGCAUUGUUGCUCUAAGUAAGAGUGUUGCAGGCUUGCAGCAUCAUAGUUACAAAAACAACUUGGUCGUCAACGUCAUACGUCAACAUCAAUUUAUUCAAGGUAAAUUUGAUAAUGAAAAGGGUUAAUACUGCUAGCAGCACAUCUCAGGCUCACAUAAGGAGAAUGCGUCGGGAGGCAAAUCAAAACGUGGAGGUUGCUAAUUUGUCUCAGUUUGAAGUUGAACGUGAC